CUAUGAUAUAAAAAAUAUAUACUUUAGAUCUAAAAAUAAAAAUACAUCGGUCUCAUCGAUGCUGAAAUUUUAGAUCUAACUAUUAGAUCUAACAUUACGAUCAGGAUAAAAUAGAAAAUAUUACCAAACAACUUUGAUAUUAUUUUUUUCUAGUCCAAUGGUUAGAGAAAGUAUUCCUCAGGUCACUCAUAGAUACACGAAGUGUCUGGCCUCUAUAAGAAAAUCUAUGCAAAGAUUGACGUAGAUCAGAGACUUGGAGGUGCUAGACUGCAAGCAACUUUGACGGCUGAUCUCUUUGUUUUUCUUCAAGCACCUUGGACACUCCAAAGGAUGAAGAGAUCU
rnacentral:lncRNA from 1 species